UCCUAGAGGCAUAUUAAAGAGACUGUCA
rnacentral:piRNA from 1 species